ACAUCUUCCUGGAUUUCCAAGUCAAGUUUUCAUGAAUUUAAGUUACAAAAAUAAGAUUUCAUGAAUUUAAAUGUAAUGUUUGUUUACAUUUUAGUUACAUGAAAAAAGCAAUACCUUGUAUAGGUUGUAAGAAUUAUCAGCAAUGGACCCAUUAUUACCAUCCAAUAUCUUCUCUGAAAAGAAGACAAAAUUAUUCAUUGAAUAAUCUAAUUUCAAGAAAGUAAUAAUAACUGAAUAACCUUACAUGUUCAUCACCAUCAACCCAUUUGCUAUGAACAUAAGAUAAAAACCGAGUCAUGUGUUAUAAAACCCAAUUCAAGAAAAAGAAAAAAAAAACAUUUCAGAAUAUUUGAGUCUUGGAUGUCUAAAGAGAUCCAAAAAUAUUAGGGUUUUUCAUUAGGAAGAAAAAACCUGGAAAAUUUUCAGAGAAGGUGUCCCAGAUACUUGGUCCUCUACCAUCUUCAUGAGCAGCACCUUCACACUACAAAAAAAUUCGAAAAAUUUAACAAAAGUAUAUGCAAUAUAUAGUAAGAACUGAACCUGGUACGCAGAAGUGGCAGAUCCAAAAAUGAAAUCUUCUGGGAAAUCACUUCUCCUCAAAAUAGGUAUUGAGAAGUGAUUCUUUGCAGAAACUCCAACGUAGAUGGAAGUUAUGAUCAACAGUAAAAGAAGACAUUUACUUCUCAUAGUUUCUGUAAGAAAAAAAAUCAAUAGUUUUUAUUUAUAAGAAUUUUGGUUUGGUAAAACUUUAUAAGAGAAUGGGAAAUGUUUGACUUUCAUGCUUUGUAUCUAUGAAUAGAAUUGAUGGGAGGAGAAAGAUAGUGUAUACGAUUUUCUUCUCGUUCAAGAUCCUAUAAAACAGAAGAUGUUAACUUAAAUUAAUCAAAAUCUGAGUCAUCACAGAAAAAAAAAAUUAAUUGCAAAGCUAAGACGUAAGAAUUGAGUAGACAAUUCCGCCUUUCUAAAUUAAUAUUGUAGUACCACUAAUUUCAUCUGACAAAAAUGAAAACGACUAAUGUCAAAUAUUUCUAGAAUUAUAAUGCAUGUCCUUAGCAAAAAAAAAAUUAUAAUGCAUAAGUGCAUUGUUUUUUUUUUAAUUUUCUUUUCUAUGAUUUUGGUUUAGUCUCUUAAUUUGAAAUAUUGUAUAUAUCGUAGGUAAAUUCGCUUUGCAGAGGUGUUUUGUUGGGUGAAGUGGGUGGGCACAGUUAUUUUGGUCAACGCCAAAAUGUAAAAAAAAAACAAAUUGUGCUUAUCUAUAAAAUUGUUAAAUCCUCCUCUUUAACGAAAUGUUGAAGAUAUUUGUGUCGUUUACCAUGUGGUAAUGCACUAUUGUUUAAACGUUUGUACUAUUUUAAUUGAUUUGAAUCCAAGAACGAUAGUAAACAAAAAUAAUGAACCCUUUAGCCCUCUUUGUUGAACAACUACUUUGCUUUGCUUUAAAGCUUUUUACACAAGAAAUAUAAAAAUUGUAUAAAUCUA